rnacentral:rRNA from 1 species
GACGAACGCUGGCGGCGUGCUUAACACAUGCAAGUCGAACGGGCCUGUCUUCUUUUUUGGGGGGUGGGUUGAGUGGCGAACGGGUGAGUAUCACGUGAGUAACCUGCCCUUCGGUCCUGGAUAACCGCUUGAAAGGGCGGCUAAUACGGGGUGGUCCGGUUGGUCCGCAUGGGCUGGUCGGGAUAGAUUCACUGUUUUUGGUGUUUCGGCGGGGGAUGGGCUCGCGGCCUAUCGGCUUGUUGGCGGGGGGAUGGCCGACCAAGGGGGUGACGGGUGGCCCGGUUGAGAGGGUGGGGGGCGACAGAGGGACGGAGAUACGGCCCAGACUACGGCGGGAGGAAGCAGGGGGGGGUAUUGCACAAUGGGCGGAAGCCUGAUGCAGCGACGUCGGGUGAGGGAUGGAGGCCUUCGGGUUGUGGACCUCUGUUUCCGGUGGUGAAGGCCCUGUCCGUGUGGUGGGGUUGACGGUAGCCGGGGAUGAAGCGCCGGCUAACUACGUG